rnacentral:lncRNA from 1 species
AAUAAAGUCAAUAAACUCUACUCUACUCUACUCUACUCUACUCUACUCUACUCUACUCUACUCUACUCUACUCUACUCUACUCUACUCUACUCUACUCUACUCUACUCUACUCUACUCUACUCUACUCUACUCUACUCUACUCUACUCUACUCUACUCUACUCUACUCUACUCUACUCUACUCUACUCUACUCUACUCUACUCUACUCUACUCUACUCUACUCUACUCUACUCUACUCUACUCUACUCUACUCUACUCUACUCUACUCUACUCUACUCUACUCUACUCUACUCUACUCUACUCUACUCUACUCUACUCUACUCUACUCUACUCUACUCUACUCUACUCUACUCUACUCUACUCUACUCUACUCUACUCUACUCUACUCUACUCUACUCUACUCUACUCUACUCUACUCUACUCUACUCUACUCUACUCUACUCUACUCUACUCUACUCUACUCUACUCUACUCUACUCUACUCUACUCUACUCUACUCUACUCUACUCUACUCUACUCUACUCUACUCUACUCUACUCUACUCUACUCUACUCUACUCUACUCUACUCUACUCUACUCUACUCUACUCUACUCUACUCUACUCUACUCUACUCUACUCUACUCUACUCUACUCUACUCUACUCUACUCUACUCUACUCUACUCUACUCUACUCUACUCUACUCUACUCUACUCUACUCUACUCUACUCUACUCUACUCUACUCUACUCUACUCUACUCUACUCUACUCUACUCUACUCUACUCUACUCUACUCUACUCUACUCUACUCUACUCUACUCUACUCUACUCUACUCUACUCUACUCUACUCUACUCUACUCUACUCUACUCUACUCUACUCUACUCUACUCUACUCUACUCUACUCUACUCUACUCUACUCUACUCUACUCUACUCUACUCUACUCUACUCUACUCUACUCUACUCUACUCUACUCUACUCUACUCUACUCUACUCUACUCUACUCUACUCUACUCUACUCUACUCUACUCUACUCUACUCUACUCUACUCUACUCUACUCUACUCUACUCUACUCUACUCUACUCUACUCUACUCUACUCUACUCUACUCUACUCUACUCUACUCUACUCUACUCUACUCUACUCUACUCUACUCUACUCUACUCUACUCUACUCUACUCUACUCUACUCUACUCUACUCUACUCUACUCUACUCUACUCUACUCUACUCUACUCUACUCUACUCUACUCUACUCUACUCUACUCUACUCUACUCUACUCUACUCUACUCUACUCUACUCUACUCUACUCUACUCUACUCUACUCUACUCUACUCUACUCUACUCUACUCUACUCUACUCUACUCUACUCUACUCUACUCUACUCUACUCUACUCUACUCUACUCUACUCUACUCUACUCUACUCUACUCUACUCUACUCUACUCUACUCUACUCUACUCUACUCUACUCUACUCUACUCUACUCUACUCUACUCUACUCUACUCUACUCUACUCUACUCUACUCUACUCUACUCUACUCUACUCUACUCUACUCUACUCUACUCUACUCUACUCUACUCUACUCUACUCUACUCUACUCUACUCUACUCUACUCUACUCUACUCUACUCUACUCUACUCUACUCUACUCUACUCUACUCUACUCUACUCUACUCUACUCUACUCUACUCUACUCUACUCUACUCUACUCUACUCUACUCUACUCUACUCUACUCUACUCUACUCUACUCUACUCUACUCUACUCUACUCUACUCUACUCUACUCUACUCUACUCUACUCUACUCUACUCUACUCUACUCUACUCUACUCUACUCUACUCUACUCUACUCUACUCUACUCUACUCUACUCUACUCUACUCUACUCUACUCUACUCUACUCUACUCUACUCUACUCUACUCUACUCUACUCUACUCUACUCUACUCUACUCUACUCUACUCUACUCUACUCUACUCUACUCUACUCUACUCUACUCUACUCUACUCUACUCUACUCUACUCUACUCUACUCUACUCUACUCUACUCUACUCUACUCUACUCUACUCUACUCUACUCUACUCUACUCUACUCUACUCUACUCUACUCUACUCUACUCUACUCUACUCUACUCUACUCUACUCUACUCUACUCUACUCUACUCUACUCUACUCUACUCUACUCUACUCUACUCUACUCUACUCUACUCUACUCUACUCUACUCUACUCUACUCUACUCUACUCUACUCUACUCUACUCUACUCUACUCUACUCUACUCUACUCUACUCUACUCUACUCUACUCUACUCUACUCUACUCUACUCUACUCUACUCUACUCUACUCUACUCUACUCUACUCUACUCUACUCUACUCUACUCUACUCUACUCUACUCUACUCUACUCUACUCUACUCUACUCUACUCUACUCUACUCUACUCUACUCUACUCUACUCUACUCUACUCUACUCUACUCUACUCUACUCUACUCUACUCUACUCUACUCUACUCUACUCUACUCUACUCUACUCUACUCUAUAAAAUCUACCUGCUGAAAGUGCACCAGUUUAAAGUGUUUCUAUAA